ensembl:lncRNA
CAGCAUCUCGCUUGUUAUAAAGUGAACCAUUAACAUAAAAUUUUCUUUACAAAGAAUUUGUUUUUUUAAUUUUUCCUGUUAGCAUCUCAAGUACCUGCCAAUUUUUCCAGGAAAUGGAGCUUGUAGCAAAUCUUUUUAAGAAAAUUUUUAUUGCAAUUGCUUUACGAUGUUGUGUUUCUACUGUACAGCAAAGUGAGUCAGCCAUACGCAUACAUGGAUCCCUUCUUUUUUAGAUUCCUCCCCAUUUAGAUCACCAUGGAGCGCUGAGUCGCCUUCCCUGUGCUGUGCAGUAGGUCCUCGUUAGUCAUCUGUUGUAUACAUACUGUCAGUAGUGUAGACAUGUCAGCCCCAGUCUUUCACGCCUUUAUUAUUGUCAUUUUUCUCUGCUAGCAUGUGAGUUCUUGGGGCUGAAAAUAAUGCCUGACUUGGGGCAGGUGCUCAAAAACAUAUUAGAAAAACAAAUACGAAUGAAUGGGCUGCCACCUCCGACCUUGGUCUUUCCUGAGCUCAGUGGCUGUGAACUGGGAUCUGCUCCCCUGGUUGGCCGUUAGAUAUGGAAGCUCAGCUAUCUGUCAGACCCCUGUGAUUAAGCCUUGCAACCCGGCCUCACCUGUGUCUUUCUUAGGACCUGUGCUCCGUGAAUCAUGCUUGGAAUUUCCUUACUUGUUGGUAUUUGCCCCCCGAAGGAGCCGAAGACACGGCCCUGGUGGGUGUGAGCAGUGCAAGUCCUCAGGCAGCAGCUCUCAGCCCUGGCAGGGGGUACAGAGACCACGCAGGAACUUGAAGGAGAUGGGAAUGCUUCAAAAGGUGUUCUGUCUGGGAGAGAAAUGGGUUCGCUGAAGAACUGAUGCUUUCAAAGUGUGGUGCUGGAGAAGACUCUUGAGAGUCC